rnacentral:rRNA from 1 species
UGAGAUCCCUUCGGGGAAGAAUUAGCGGCGAACGGGUGAGGAACACGUGAGGAAUCUGCCUUCAACACUGGGAUAACUCCGGGAAACCGGGGCUAAUACCGGAUACGAGACCUGCAGGCAUCUGCGGGUCUGGAAAGUUUUUCGGUUGAAGAUGACCUCGCGGCCUAUCAGCUUGUUGGUGAGGUAAUGGCUCACCAAGGCGACGACGGGUAGCCGGCCUGAGAGGGCGACCGGCCACACUGGGACUGAGACACGGCCCAGACUCCUACGGGAGGCAGCAGUGGGGAAUAUUGGGCAAUGGAGGGAACUCUGACCCAGCGACGCCGCGUGCGGGAUGAAGGCCUUCGGGUUGUAAACCGCUUUCAGCAAGGAAGAAGCGAAAGUGACGGUACUUGCAGAAGAAGCACCGGCUAACUAUGUGCCAGCAGCCGCGGUAAUACAUAGGGUGCAAGCGUUGUCCGGAAUUAUUGGGCGUAAAGAGCUCGU